rnacentral:rRNA from 1 species
AUACGGAGGGUGCAAGCGUUAUUCGGAAUCACAGGGCGUAAAGCGCGCGCAGGCGGCUAUUUAAGUUGGAUGUGAAAGCCUAUGGCUCAACCAUAGAACUGCAUCCAAAACUAUUUAGCUAGAGUGUGGGAGAGGAAGAUGGAAUUAGUUGUGUAGGGGUAAAAUCCGUAGAGAUAACUAGGAAUACCAAAAGCGAAGGCAAUCUUCUGGAACACUACUGACGCUGAGGCGCGAAAGCGUGGGGAGCAAACAGGAUUAGAAACCCUAGUAGUCC